GAAAAUCGUCAAUGUAAAUCUAGACGAUAAACCUGUAAAAAUUUGUGAGAAUAACUCUGGAGUGAUAAGUAUAGCAAAGCACGGAAAUUUUACAAAAAAUUCUAAACACAUUGAAGUUCAUUACCACUACGUUUACGAGUGCUUAAAGGAGAACAAGAUAAACAUACUUAAAGUAAGUACAGACGAAAAUACUGCGGAUAUUUUUACGAAGGCACUGUGUAGAGAGAAAUUCGAAAGGUUUAGGUCAUGGAUGAAUGUAAACUAAGAGAAAUGUAAAUAAAGCAAUAAGUGUUGAAGUUUCUGUUACGUAAUUCGUCAAAGCAUGUAAAUACGAUUAAGCGUACAGUAUAAAUGUAAGGAGGCGUGUUGGGAACAUGAUACAUUUACACUGUACAUGUGAAUGUGUGUGUAAGCGUCAGAGGACGUCCAGGCCUUAGUUGAGACAAAAGACAAGAGCCAGUCGUUAGAAGUAUCU
rnacentral:misc_RNA from 1 species